GGUGAACGCUGGCGGCGUGCUUAAGACAUGCAAGUCGAACGGCAGUCUUCGGACUGUAGUAGCGCACGGGUGAGUAACGCGUAACUGACCUACCCCAAAGUCGCGGAUAACGAUUCGAAAGAAUCGCUAAUACGUGAUGUGCUGUCAGAUUGUGUUCUGCCAGUAAAGAUUGAUUGCUUUGGGAUGGGGUUGCGUUCCAUCAGCUAGUUGGUGGGGUAAAGGCCCACCAAGGCGACGACGGAUAGCCGGCCUGAGAGGGUGGCCAGCCACAGGGGCAAUGAGACACGGGUCCCACUCCUACGGGAGGCAGCAGUUAGGAAUCUUCCACAAUGGGCGAAAGCCUGAUGGAGCGACGCCGCGUGAGGGAUGAAGGUCUUCGGAUCGUAAACCUCUGAAUCAGGGACGAAAGACACUUCGGUGGGAUGACGGUACCUGAGUAAUAGCACCGGCUAACUCCGUGCCAGCAGCCGCGGUAACAC
rnacentral:rRNA from 1 species